GUACACACCCUGUAUGGUAGGGGUUAGGGUUAACACUAGGUACACAUCCUGUAUGGUAGGGGUUAUAGUUAACACUAGGUACACACCCUGUAUGGUAGGGGUUAGAGUUAACACUAGGUACACACCCUGUAUGGUAGGGGUUAGGGUUAACACUAGGUACACACCCUGUAUGGUAGGGGUUAGAGUUAACACUAGGUACACACCCUGUAUGGUAGGGGUUAGAGUUAACACUAGGUACACACCCUGUAUGGUAGGGGUUAGAGUUAACACUAGGUACACACCCUGUAUGGUAGGGGUUAGGGUUAACACUAGGUACACACCCUGUAUGGUAGGGGUUAGAGUUAACACUAGGUACACAUCCUGUAUGGUAGGGGUUAGGGUUAGAGUUAACACUAGGUACACACCCUGUAUGGUAGGGGUUAGGGUUAGAGUUAACACUAGGUACACACCCUGUAUGGUAGGGGUUAGGGUUAACACUAGGUACACACCCUGUAUGGUAGGGGUUAGAGUUAACACUAGGUACACACCCUGUAUGGUAGGGGUUAGGGUUAACACUAGGUACACAUCCUGUAUGGUAGGGGUUAGAGUUAACACUAGGUACACACCCUGUAUGGUAGGGGUUAGGGUUAACACUAGGUACACAUCCUGUAUGGUAGGGGUUAGGGUUAUAGUUAACA
rnacentral:lncRNA from 1 species